rnacentral:misc_RNA from 1 species
GAUGAAGAACGUAGCGAAAUGCGAUACGUAAUGUGAAUUGCAGAAUUCAGUGAAUCAUCGAGUCUUUGAACGCACAUUGCGCCCCCUGGUAUUCCGGGGGGCAUGCCUGUCCGAGCGUCAUUGCUGCCCUCAAGCACGGCUUGUGUGUUGGGCCUCCGUCCUCCUCCCGGGGGACGGGCCCGAAAGGCAGCGGCGGCACCGCGUCCGGUCCUCGAGCGUAUGGGGCUUCGUCACCCGCUCUUGUAGGCCCGGCCGGCGCUUGCCGACACAUCAAUCUUUUCUCCAGGUUGACCUCGGAUCAGGUAGGGAUACCCGCUGAACUUAGGCAUAUCAAUAAGCGGAGGA